rnacentral:rRNA from 1 species
AGGUCAAGCUACAAAGGGCGCAUGGUGAAUGCCUUGGCAUCAGGAGCCGAUGAAGGACGUGAUAAGCUGCGAUAAGCUUCGGGUAGGCGCACAUAGCCUGAGAUCCGAAGAUUUCCGAAUGAGGAAACUCACAUGGGAAACCCCAUGUAUCAUUAAGUGAAUACAUAGCUUAAUGAAGGUAACCCAGGGAACUGAAACAUCUAAGUACCUGGAGGAAGAGAAAGAAAAAUCGAUUUUCUUAGUAGCGGCGAGCGAAAGGGAAAGAGCCCAAACCGGAAACUUGUUUCCGGGGUUGUGGACAUAACAUAAAAGUGGAGGCUAUUGUAACUGAAGAGAACUGGAAAGUUCCACCGUAGAAGGUAAUAGUCCUGUAAGUGAAACGAGAAGACCACGAGUUAUGAUCCAGAGUACCACGAGACACGUGAAACCUUGUGGGAAGCAGGGAGGACCACCUCCCAAGGCUAAAUACUACCUGAUGACCGAUAGUGAAGCAGUACCGUGAGGGAAAGGUGAAAAGAACCCCGGGAGGGGAGUGAAAUAGAACCUGAAACCGUGUGCCUACAAC